rnacentral:rRNA from 1 species
UACGGAGGGUGCGAGCGUUGUCCGGAAUCACUGGGCGUAAAGGGCGCGUAGGCGGCGCGGAUAGUCGGCGGUGAAAGCCCAGAGCUCAACUCUGGAACUGCCUUUGAGACUGAAGAGGCUUGAGUACGGGAGAGGUGAGAUGGAAUUCCCAGUGUAGAGGUGAAAUUCGUAGAUAUUGGGGAAGAACACCGGUGGCGAAGGCGGCUCACUGGCCCGUUACUGACGCUCAGGCGCGACAGCGUGGGGAGUCAAACAG